rnacentral:rRNA from 1 species
CCUACGGGAGGCUGCAGUGGGGAAUAUUGGGCAAUGGACGCAACUCUGACCCAGCAACGCCGCGUGAAUGAUGAAGGUUUUCGGAUUGUAAAGUUCUGUUAUCAGGGAUGAACACAAUGACGGUACCCCAAUAGCAAGCCACGGCUAACUACGUGCCAGCAGCCGCGGUAAUACGUAGGUGGCAAGCGUUAUCCGGAAUGACUGGGCGUAAAGGGGGAGUAGGUGGGUUCGUAAGUUGGGAGUGAAAUUCCGGGGCUCAACCUCGGGUCUACCUGUGAAACUGUUAUACUAGAGUGCAGGAGGGGCAAGUGGAAUUCCUAGUGUAGCGGUGGAAUGCGUAGAUAUUAGGAGGAACAUCAGUGGCGAAGGCG